rnacentral:rRNA from 1 species
UACAGAGGGUGCAAGCGUUGUUCGGAAUUAUUGGGCGUAAAGCGCGUGUAGGCGGCUUUGCAAGUCGGGUGUGAAAGCCCUCAGCUCAACUGAGGAAGUGCAUUCGAAACUUCCGAGCUCGAGUUCUGGAGAGGAUAGCGGAAUUCUCGGUGUAGAGGUGAAAUUCGUAGAUAUCGAGAGGAACACCGGUGGCGAAGGCGGCUACCUGGACGGGUACUGACGCUGAUGCGCGAAAGCCAGGGGAGCAAACGGG